UGAAGCGGGAAAAGCUCAAAUUUAAAAUCUGGCGUCCUCCGGGCGUCCGAGUUGUAAUCUGGAGAAGCGUUUUCCGCGUCGGACCGUGUACAAGUCUUCUGGAACGGAGCGUCAUAGAGGGUGAGAAUCCCGUCUCUGACACGGACUACCGAUGCUUUUGUGAUGCGCUCUCGAAGAGUCGAGUUGUUUGGGAAUGCAGCUCAAAAUGGGUGGUAAAUUCCAUCUAAAGCUAAAUAUUGGCCAGAGACCGAUAGCGAACAAGUACCGUGAGGGAAAGAUGAAAAGCACUUUGGAAAGAGAGUUAAACAGUACGUGAAAUUGUUGAAAGGGAAACGCUUGAAGUCAGUCGCGUUGGCCGAGACUCAGCCUGGCUUGCCUGGUGUACUUCUCGGUUGACGGGUCAGCAUCAGUUUUGACCGUCGGAUAAAGGUUGGAGGAAUGUGGCAUCCCUCGGGAUGUGUUAUAGCCUCUGAUUCGCAUACGGCGAUUGGGACUGAGGAACUCAGCACGCCUUUAUGGUCGGGGUUCGCCCACGUUACGUG
rnacentral:rRNA from 1 species